rnacentral:misc_RNA from 1 species
GUGAGGAUUUUCAAUUAUAAAUACUAGCCUCCUUGGUUGUAGCUGCAUUCUAUAAACAAAGUUUAAGCAGUCAACAGUAUAAAUAUAUUUAAAAAAAAAAUAUUAAAAAUAACAAUGAAUUUCGCUAAAUUCUUCGUUUUUGUCUUACUAAGUGUAAUGGCUGUUUUUUCAGUGAACGCCAAUCCAGCUCCGAAAUUUAGACCGUUUAAAAAAUUGGAGAAACUUGGACAGAGAGUCAGAGACGGCAUCAUCAAGGCGGGUCCAGCUGUCGAAGUCAUAGGACAAGCCAGUUCUGUGAUUAAAGGAUAAUGGAAGCUUAAAUAUUAAAUUUAGUUGAAUAAAUUAUUGUAUGUAAAUUGAAUAUUAUAACUUGUAAAAAUUUUUAUAUUAAAUUAUUUUUGUUAACAUAACACAAAUUUUUUAUUCGCUUAUUAUUUAUUUACUCUAAUUUCUAUUUAUUUUGUAGUAUUUUUGUAUUAGUAGAAUUAUCUCUUAUAAUAAUAAUAAUUAUACAAUUUUUAAUACGAUAACAAAAAUCGACCAUCCAAGAUUUCAUUGUAAU